rnacentral:rRNA from 2 species
GAAAGCCUUUGGCUUAACCAAAGAAGUGCAUCGGAAACUGUCAGACUUGAGUGCAGAAGAGGACAGUGGAACUCCAUGUGUAGCGGUGGAAUGCGUAGAUAUAUGGAAGAACACCAGUGGCGAAGGCGGCUGUCUGGUCUGCAACUGACGCUGAGGCUCGAAAGCAUGGGUAGCGAACAGGAUUAGAUACCCUGGUAGUCCAUGCCGUAAACGAUGAGUGCUAGGUGUUGGAGGGUUUCCGCCCUUCAGUGCCGCAGCUAACGCAUUAAGCACUCCGCCUGGGGAGUACGACCGCAAGGUUGAAACUCAAAGGAAUUGACGGGGGCCCGCACAAGCGGUGGAGCAUGUGGUUUAAUUCGAAGCUACGCGAAGAACCUUACCAGGUCUUGACAUCUUGCGCCAACCCUAGAGAUAGGGCGUUUCCUUCGGGAACGCAAUGACAGGUGGUGCAUGGUCGUCGUCAGCUCGUGUCGUGAGAUGUUGGGUUAAGUCCCGCAACGAGCGCAACCCUUGUUACUAGUUGCCAGCAUUCAGUUGGGCACUCUAGUGAGACUGCCGGUGACAAACCGGAGGAAGGUGGGGACGA